AAUAAGUGCAGUUUUGCACUAUUCACCUCUAGCGUUUGACCAUUCGUUUUAUUUAAAAAUUUUUUAUGAUUACUAUUUUUAUUGUUAUUAGAUGAUAAAACAUGAAUAGCACUUUAUGUGUGACUAUUUUUUAAAAAAAAAUUCAUAAAUUUUUUAAAUAAGACGGACGGUCAUACGUUGGACACGGAUUUUCACGGCUGCACUUGUU
rfam:Oryza nivara chromosome 6, whole genome shotgun sequence.